rnacentral:rRNA from 1 species
GACGAACGCUGGCGGCGUGCUUAACACAUGCAAGUCGAACGAAGAGCGAUGGAAGCUUGCUUCUAUCAAUCUUAGUGGCGAACGGGUGAGUAACGCGUAAUCAACCUGCCCUUCAGAGGGGGACAACAGUUGGAAACGACUGCUAAUACCGCAUACGAUCCAAUCUCGGCAUCGAGACUGGAUGAAAGGUGGCCUCUAUUUAUAAGCUAUCACUGAAGGAGGGGAUUGCGUCUGAUUAGCUAGUUGGAGGGGUAACGGCCCACCAAGGCGAUGAUCAGUAGCCGGUCUGAGAGGAUGAACGGCCACAUUGGGACUGAGACACGGCCCAGACUCCUACGGGAGGCAGCAGUGGGGAAUCUUCCGCAAUGGACGAAAGUCUGACGGAGCAACGCCGCGUGAGUGAUGACGGCCUUCGGGUUGUAAAGCUCUGUUAAUCGGGACGAAUGGUUCUUGUGCAAAUAGUGCGAGGAUUUG